CAAUAGCGUAUAUUAAAGUUGUUGCAGUUAAAAGCUCGUAGUUGGAUUUCUGCCGAGGACGACCGGUCCGCCUCUGGGUGAGUAUCUGGCUUGGCCUGGGCAUCUUCUUGGAGAACGUAGCUGCACUUGACUGUGUGGUGCGGUAUCCAGGACUUUUACUUUUGAGGAAAUUAGAGUGUUUCAAGCAGGCAUGCGCCUUGAAUACAUUAGCAUGGAAUAAUAUUAUAGGAUUUCGGUUCUAUUUUGUUGGUUUCUAGAGCUGAAAUAAUGAUUAAUAGGGACAAUUGGGGCAUUCGUAUUGACGAGUCAGAGGUGAAAUUCUUGGAUUUGUUAAAGACGGACUACUGCGAAAGCAUUUGCCAAGGAUGUUUUCAUUGAUCAAGAACGAAAGUUAGGGGAUCGAAGACGAUUAGAUACC
rnacentral:rRNA from 1 species